rnacentral:rRNA from 1 species
UAGCCGUAAACGAUACUCGCUAGGUGUCGGCCACGGUGCGACCGUUGUCGGUGCCGUAGGGAAGCCGUGAAGCGAGCCACCUGGGAAGUACGGCCGCAAGGCUGAAACUUAAAGGAAUUGGCGGGGGAGCACAACAACGGGUGGAGCUUGCGGUUUAAUUGGAUUCAACGCCGGAAAUCUUACCGGGACCGACAGCAACAUGAAGGCCAAGCUGAAGACUUUGCCGGAUUAGCCGAGAGGUGGUGCAUGGCGUAGUCGUGU